CCUACGGGCGGCAGCAGUGGGGAAUAUUCGGCAAUGGACGAGAGUCUGACCCAGCAACGUCGCGUGAAGGAUGACUGCCCUAUGGGCUGUAAACUUCUUUUAUAUAGGAAUAAAAUGUUGCACGUGUGGGAUUGUGUCUUGACCAUAUGAAAAAGGAUAGGCUAACUCCGUGCCAGCAGCAGCGGUAAUACGGAGGGUACGAGCGUUAUCCGGAUUUAUUGGGUUUAAAGGGAGCGUAGGUGGAUUGUUAAGUCAGUUGUGAAAGUUUGCGGCUCAACCGUAAAAUUGCAGUUGAAACUGGCAGUCUUGAGUACAGUAGAGGUGGGCGGAAUUCGUGGUGUAGCGGUGAAAUGCUUAGAUAUCACGAAGAACUCCGAUUGCGAAGGCAGCUCACUGGACUGCAACUGACACUGAGGCUCGAAAGUGUGGGUAUCAAACAGGAUUAGAUACCCCUGUAGUC
rnacentral:rRNA from 1 species